rnacentral:rRNA from 1 species
AUUGAACGCUGGCGGCAGGCUUAACACAUGCAAGUCGAACGAGCGGCGGACGGGUGAGUAAUGUCUGGGCAACUGCCUGAUGGAGGGGGAUAACUACUGGAAACGGUAGCUAAUACCGCAUACCAUCAGAUGUGCCCAGCUGGGAUUAGCUAGUCGGUGGGGUAAUGGCUCACCAAGGCGACGAUCCCUAGCUGGUCUGAGAGGAUGACCAGCCACACUGGAACUGAGACACGGUCCAGACUCCUACGGGAGGCAGCAGUGGGGAAUAUUGCACAAUGGGCGCAAGCCUGACGCAGCCAUGCCGCGUGUGUGAAGAAGGCCUUCGGGUUGUAAAGCACUGUCAGCGGGGAGGCGUUACCCGCAGAAGAAGCACCGGCUAACUCCGUGCCAGCAGCCGCGGUAAUAC